rnacentral:rRNA from 1 species
UACGAAGGGGGCUAGCGUUGCUCGGAAUUACUGGGCGUAAAGGGCUCGUAGGUGGCCAACUAAGUCAGACGUGAAAUCCCUCGGCUUAACCGGGGAACUGCGUCUGAUACUGGAUGGCUUGAGUUCGGGAGAGGGAUGCGGAAUUCCAGGUGUAGCGGUGAAAUGCGUAGAUAUCUGGAGGAACACCGGUGGCGAAGGCGGCAUCCUGGACCGACACUGACACUGAGGCACGAAGGCCAGGGGAGCAAACGGG